GUGAGUGGCGAACUGGUGAGUAACACGUGGGAAACCUGCCCAGAAGCGGGGGAUAACACCUGGAAACAGAUGCUAAUACCGCAUAACAACUUGGACCGCAUGGUCCGAGCUUGAAAGAUGGCUUCGGCUAUCACUUUUGGAUGGUCCCGCGGCGUAUUAGCUAGAUGGUGGGGUAACGGCUCACCAUGGCAAUGAUACGUAGCCGACCUGAGAGGGUAAUCGGCCACAUUGGGACUGAGACACGGCCCAAACUCCUACGGGAGGCAGCAGUAGGGAAUCUUCCACAAUGGACGAAAGUCUGAUGGAGCAACGCCGCGUGAGUGAAGAAGGGUUUCGGCUCGUAAAACUCUGUUGUUAAAGAAGAACAUAUCUGAGAGUAACUGUUCAGGUAUUGACGGUAUUUAACCAGAAAGCCACGGCUAACUACGUGCCAGCAGCCGCGGUAAUACGUAGGUGGCAAGCGUUGUCCG
rnacentral:rRNA from 1 species